rnacentral:misc_RNA from 1 species
CACAGCCCGUUAGCGUCUUCUGUCGCCCUCUCACCACCCCCACCCCACUCCUCGCAUGCUUCUGCGACGGAUUUGUAUCUUCACACACACACACACACACACUCCCAGUGGACGCGCUGGCAACGCAUACGUAGAGGAAGCGGAGAGGGAGUCACCGGCGUAUACGCGAUUGCCCGCGGUAAUAUAGCAAGUUGCUCCAUCGACGGCGUCACGACAUCGCGACGGUCGUCUGAGCGUGUGGUGACUCAAUCUUCGGUCCUUCCUCUAUUGCUCUUUCUCUGCGUGUGCUUGACAGUCGAACAAACACUCUGUGACGGGUGUGGAGCGCGUGCUGCGGCACGUCGAGCUUGCGGAGUGAGUGAGAUGGCAGCAAGCGUUCGGUUGCAUCUGCGCACGUGAGAGAGCGACUUUGCCUCCCCUCCUUCGGUUUCUACCGCUGAAUUUCCACGCCCUGUCUUUCCAUGACCCUCUCGGAGCCUCCCUCCUGUGCUGGCGGAGCGUGCUCUAGGAUGCUUUCGUUGUCACCCGGCACCCUGUCACGCCUGCUGCACAUGAAGCUCGCGUUACGUCAUGUGUGCAUCCUGCUUCAGGCAGCCGCGUUAGUGGCCCUCGUUGCUGUGAGCGGGUCAUCUUCCUCCAUGGCGGUCUCCAGCACGCCCAGCUCACAUCACUAUUCUGGCAGCCUUGGCAGUGACAGUGACACUAGUAUAGAUAGUGGACACCAGCCGUCGCCAUCGCCGCCCUCUAACAAGCCUCCGCUCGAUGAUGACGAGUGGGCGAACGUCACACUGAAGUUCUUCAUUAUCUUCGUGAGUGUGUGCGCUGGCGCUGGUGUGGUGGCUUUCAUCGUCAUUCUUUGUGCAUACUGCCGUGAGUACAAGCUGCUGGAGACGAGCGACGACAGCGACACAGAGAGCGUAUGCUCACGCACCACCUCCCAGUCCUCCAGCUCUGGUGAAUCUGAGUCUUCGUCCGCCGAAGCGCCGGCCUACGCGACGCCCCGCCAGCGACACAUGCCGCCGCCACCGGCAGCAAACGAGAUCACUGCCCCUGUGGCGUACGAGGAGGAGAACGACAACGCUGAUCUUCCAGAGCCAGUGAUGCAGGCGGACACGCAGUCCAACGAGUCGAGCGAAUUCUUGUUCGUGCCGCCGGAGACAACCCCCAGCUUUAGCGACGGUGCGGCCACGGCGAUUCAGCGCACCGGCUCCCGUCUUUCUCUUGCGUGCAGUCGACGCGGCUUGUACAGAAAGGAAAGAUGACGCAGGACUCAGGGGCUGCAUCGGCAGUACCUUGGCCCCAAUUCCCGCAACUACGUCUCCCUUCCUCAUCCUCUUCGGCAGCCCGCACACUGGGCCCAUCAAGGGCACAGUUUUUUACGAAAGCAAGAGCAGGGCGCCGCAGGGACGAGACAGAAGCACAGAAAAAAACGUGCCGGGGCCCUUGCUGGUGCCUGCGCAACACUUCGCCCAAAUCUCUGGCAGUCGCGGAAACACGCGACGGAAGCGUGCGAGGAUGUCGUCCUCCUCGUGUGCCUGUCAGUGUGUACGCGUGCGUCAGCACUUUUUUCGUCCUUUGCUUUGUUCGCUGCCGCACCGGUUGGCUUUCUCUCCCCCUCGAUCUUUCAUUUCUGGGUGCCGCGCGCACAUGUGCGUCUCCGCAGCGCGCCUCUCCCUCUCUUCAUCUUGUCUUGUCGCUCUUUUGCCUUUCGUGACGGUGCGCAAGUCUGUGUAUUCUCUCCUUCCCUCUCUCUCCCUGUGCCCUGUGAGGGCGGUGCCUCUCCUCUUGUCUUCUCCUCUGGCCUCCCGUCCUUCUCCUCCCCCUCCCCCGAUCCCUUGCCCCUCGCGCUGUACAGUCGUAGUUGAUGCAGGACUGGCGAAGGAGUUGUCGGGGGGGGGCGGGCGUGCGGCGGUGAAUGACGCCACGUGCGUGACUCAUGUGCUUAGCUCUUCUAUUAUCUUUUGUUUUCGGGCGUGUGCGUGCGGGCCAUGCCUUACGAUGUGCCUUCCUCGUAUUCUUGUUGGCGAUGAUGGCGCGAGGCCGCUAUCUCCGCCUUUCUUUUUCGACGUGAGCAGUCGGCGAGGUCGGCGAAGGGCAUAAGAGGGGAGCUUGUGGGGCGAGCGGGACUUAAGGUGUAGAUGGUCAGGAGUACUGAGCGUGGGAUAAGGCGCGCCGGCUGCCGUGACUGCUUCCAGUGGUACCGCCAGUUAGUGAAGCAUCACAGGGGCUGUCAUGUGCACUGUAAACGACCCUAUCCUCUAAACUCUUCUCUUUUCUCUGGCCAGCCUGAUCUCGUGGUGUGCGUGCAUGAGUGCCGGUGCGUGUGCCACGUGACACGUCCCACUUCCUGUCUUCUCUCCGGUUGUGACUUGCCCAUUGCACUGCCCUUUCCCUUCUCUACUUGUUUUCUGCCAUUCCAGAUGGUCCUGGCUCUCAGUGAUUCCUUGAAGGCUUUCUCUCCGCUUUCUCUAGUUUGUUGCUUCGCAUGGGUGUUUCAUGCCGUGACAGUUUGCGGGGUCGUGAGUAGAGGUGAUGAGUGCUUGAUGUUAGCCAGGGGCGAUUAGAGAGGAAUGCCGGGGGAUGUCACCGUCACUGGCUCUCCUUCGACUCUCACGCCUUCUUUCCUUUCCGCUGCGCCAUGCCGCCCUCUCUUGCAGUGUGGUGUGUUGUGGCUCUUUGACUCGUGACGGGGGCUGUCUCUGUGGACGCAUCCGCGCCACGCCGCUCACCCCCCUACCUACACAUGUGUCUGUGUGCCCCUCCUCUCCCGUCAACUCGCACUUCCCUCCCCCCUCCAACGGUCUUCUUUCUCGGUUCAUUUUUCUUUGAGGCCUCUUGAGCAG